rnacentral:lncRNA from 1 species
GCAGGUCAAACCCACUCUUCUCUUUCUCUAUUAAAAAACAAUUCAUCAGUUCCCCAAUAAUGAUUUCAUCAAAUUCUUUUAUGGGAUUUCAUUUGCAAUCAGAUUGGUAUAACCUAUGAUUUCAUCCAAUAGGGGAAUAAUGAAAGCCAACGGUGAACUGGUGUUCGGAUUUCUACUCGUCGCUGCUCUGAUCAGACUGAUUCAAUCGAAAUCGACAGCGGUGGUGGCCUUGAAACCGAUGACUGGGUUUUCAUUUUUGAGUUAAGCGAAAUCCCAGGUUAUAUCUUCGUAAAGAUGGAGCUUCGAACAUCCACUGAAAAGGGGCAGGACGAAAUGCAAGUCCACUGAAAUCAGGUCAAGCUGAGAUUCACAUGGUUGUAUAGAGGCAUGAGCAAAUGCACUCGACCGCAUUGAAAUCUGAUGAAGAGGAGGGAUUAUAUGCUCUUUGAUCCACUUAUCAAUGAGGAUGCUGAGCUGCAUGAAAGGCAAAGAGACUUGAGGCUAGAUGUUGAUAAUAUAUCAUAUGAGGAGCUGCUAGCAUUGGAAGAACAUAUAGGAGACAUGAACACUGGGCUAAGUGAAAAGAAAACACGUAGCUUUUAUGGCGAUUCAGAGCCCUGUUGCAUAUAUCAGGUGAGAGUAAGAUUUAUUUCAAGAAUUAUCUUUUUGUAUCGGGCUAAUUACCCUUUUAAACGCAAAUAUAUGCUACCCUUUAACUCUGGUCUGAUUUAUGGUUUCCGUAAUUUGACUUUUUAGGCAUGAAAGAACCAUAACUCCAAUGUUAAACACUAACACUCGUAUAAAAAUCAACUAUAAUAUACACAAACACCCCGCUAAAUUGGUAUGAAUAGUAUUCCAGUUAACACUAAAUUUAGUUCAAGACUAACGGAAAAAUGGGCGGGUUGGGUUGGGUAACGGGGGUUCGGGUCAAAACGGGUCAUUUAAAAAGUAGGGCCAGAUUAGAUUCGGGUCACAACGGGUUUUGAUACAGGUCAAAACGAGUUAACUCUAUUCUUUAGCAUAUUUUAUACUUUAUAUCAUUGUCCUCCCAGUUAAGCGAUAUUGUUUGUAUCCGUUAAAAGAAAACUAUCUAUAAUCUAUAAUACUAUAUAAAGCAAAUGUGAUGGCCAGAAAUGUAAUUUCACAUCGCGUACAAUUUUUGAAGCAAAAUGUAUAAGAGAGCACAAGCCAUUUUAAAGGGGUUAAAUUGGUAUUUCCACCAUAGUUUAAGACACCAAUGAAGGCAGUUAUGGGAUUUCAGCGUGAGUUCACAGUCCUAUCACCAUUUAUUCAUCCAUUUCAUUGUACAAUUCAUCCAAUUGCACAAGCAUUGUCACCGUCAGAGGGCAUGUCCGUUUCCAUCCCACCCCUGAUAUUCACAUUUAACUCUUGGCUAUUGAGUUGCACCCCACAUCGGUUUUCCCACUGCUCCCUCAAAUCCAUUCUCCCCUCAAAUCAAGAAACUCUGAUGCGAUAGAUGGAGCGAAAGGUGAUCCGAAGAAAGAGAAGCGGAGGAGGUAGACGGGCAGUGACAACGGCCCUCUUACACCGGAGCUUUUGGCCGUUGGUUCUGCCCUCUUACACCGCCGUACCACCACCUGCAACCACAGGAGCACCCUGUCGCCGGUUCCCUUCUUCAUAGUUCUGCGAUUUCGAAUUCGAUUAAGCAUUUUAAUUAACAGCCUUUAGCCAAUCUAUAGAUUUGAAUGAACUGGUAUUAAGCAAAUGACACAUUAAUAACUUUGACAAAACAACAUAAUUAGCCAAUCUUUAGAUUUGAAUGUCCUGCCCUUUAGUCAAUCUAUAGAUUAAUAACUUUGAC